AGCGAACGCUGGCGGUAGGCCUAACACAUGCAAGUCGAACGGCAGCACCGUAAGAGCUUGCUCUUACGGGAGGCACGUGGCGGACGGGUGAGGAAUACAUCGGACUCUACUUUUUAGUGGGGGCUAACGUAGGGAAACUUACGCUAAUACCGCAUACGACCUACGGGUGACAGCAGGGGAUCUUCGGACCUUGCGCGGUUGAAUGAGCCGAUGUCGGUUUAGAUAGUUGGCGGGGUAAAGGCCCACCAAGGCGACGAUCCGUAGGUGGUCUGAGGGCGAGAAUCGGCACAUGGGAACUGAGACAGGGCCGAGACACCGACGCUGGGAAGCAGUGGGGAAUAUUGGGCAAUGGGCGAGAGGCUGAUCCAGCGAAACCGGGUGGGUGAAGAAGGCCUUAGGGUGGGAAAGUCAUUUUGUUGGGAAAGAAAAGCAGCAGUUUAAGACCCCGCGGUUCUGACGGUACCCAAAGAAGAAGCACCGGCUAACUUCGUG
rnacentral:rRNA from 1 species